rnacentral:lncRNA from 1 species
GCACACACACAGAAAGAGAGAGAGAGAGAGAGACAGAAAACAAGCCCCGCGAGCUUCCAAGGCUCCUCGGAUCUGGAAAGAGAAGUGAGAUUGGAGAAAGUACAGCGAUGCCAAGGAGGAAACAGCAGGCACCCAAACGGGCAGCAGGUAAGGAGCCAACCCACUCGCCGCAGCCCUCUCGGCGUCUCCCGAAGACCUUUAAGCCCUCCCCUCCUCCCCCACAGUUUAUUGUAAGGACGCGCUUGGAGAGAUUUUGUCUUUGCAAUUUUUUAAAAAGGGAAGGAAAAAACCCCAUCAUUUUUAUUUCAAUCUUUUCCUCUCUGUUUCUCUCUCUCCUCCCCCCCCCCCGCAUCCUUUGCAACUUGGACACUAUUGAAUCAGCCUCUCUGGAAGCCGACUAGUUUUCGCACCAACCGGUGCUUAUUUUUAUUUAUUUUUUAAGGGCGGGCGGAGAGGUGCGGAGGGGGGAGAAGACCGCUUUUCCGCCUCGUCCCGACGCUGCUCGGGUCCUGUCUCCCUCUUAAACUUUUCCCCCCAACUUUCUUCCACAUGGUUUCUCACCUCUCUUCCCCUCCUCUCUCCCCUCCCCAACCCCCUCAAAUCCCCUUUGAUCAUCUUUGCGUUGCAUCCCUGCUAUGGGGUUUGCAACGAGGAGCUCUUGGAUUUUUAAUAUAUAUAUAUUAUUUUGUACUGCAGUUUGCAUGCCUCUAGAGGAGUAAUGUUUUGCUUUUUUUAAAAAAAUAAUAAUAAUAAUCACCAUUUCCAUAGCGUCGUUCCUCGUUCAGUUCUUUCUCUUUCUCCCUCUGAAAUAGCGGCGGGGGCGGGGGGUGCUGUCUGUCUCUGUUGAUGAACCCGCUGGUUGAAGUUCAAGCCUUUGAUCAUCAGUGGCGAAAGAAAGCGUGCGGGGGGGGGGGUGGAGAGAAGAAACUGCAACAGGAAAUAAAACGAACGUUCUGACGGUUAAGGAGGCAGCCCCUUAGAUUCCAAUCAAAUUAAUCUUUCGGACUCCUUUCGCUUGCACGCUGCUAUUCAAGUUGAAAUGCAACUGUUUCUAGCCUGCAUGAUGGGGGGGUCAGAUGCACCGGGGUUUUUUUUGCUUUUUUUAGGGCUUUUCCGGCGGCUCCAGCAGUUUGCAACUUUUUGGGACGGUGUUCUGCUUCGGUUGCAAAUGGGGAGGAAAGAGAGGCUAGGAAAAGUUGAGCCUAGUAAGGAACGGGGGAGCAGAGAGGCCUGCACAAUGUUAACGUGGAUUUUAGGUGUGUGCAUGUAUUUUAAUGUAAGGUUGGUUAAUGGAGAGAGACAGAGACAGAGAGAAUAGUUUGCUAGGAUUUUUGUUUCUGGGUAGCGCAGCUGGGAAGUUCAUUUUUUUCUGCCACCAGACCCACCCACUGAAAAAAUCAGGUUUCCAGAUGAUUGCCAACUUUGAUUUGACAUUUGAUUGAUCACCUGUCAUCUUGCUGCCUUUGAUCUAUUCAUUCUUGAUACAUAUCAAUAAAUCACUCACUAUGGUAACCUGAGUGCCAGUGACGCAAGUCUUGCCCUCUAGAAUCUCUUAGCCAGACAUUCACAAUUAUUAUCUUGUUUGGCUUUAAUGUGGGUGGGAUUUGUCUUUUUCUUCUUUGUGUUCACUUAGACUAAAGCUGUACAGUGAAGCUAAGUUGUUGCUGUGUUGUUGUUGUUUUUGUUUUGUUUUUUAAAAAAACCUCUCCAAUCCCCCCUCUGCCAAGAGAUCAUCAGAUAACACUUUGCAUUUCCAUUAGACACUGAAUAAUAUAGCUUUGAAAUGUGGGAAAGUUUCAGGAUAGGCAUUUGAGUAAAUCUUGCGCAGUACUGCUUGAGGACUAUUCAAAUGUGAAAAUUAAUCUUGGAGGGGAGAAUGGGUUUGACAAACUUUUACAAACUUGACCCAGUUCAACCUUCGGCAAUUUCCCCCCAAUUCUCCCUAAUAUAUGUCUAUAGAUUAGAAAUUAUAAUUGCAAUUCAAAGGCUAGUUACGAAUAUUUUAUACAAAAGGGCUUUAGGUGACUACAAUCAAAAGGCAUAACUGAGACAAUUUCUUUGGAGAGUAUUAUAUGGGGGUUAUUUUUCACUCUGCUGACAUUUAGGACAGCAGUAACAGUAUUGCCACAUGGUUAUUGCUGCACUCAUUUGCCCAAAAUAAAGAAACCAACCUUUCCUUGUUAGCGGUACAAGUUUAGAUUUUCCAUAUGAAUACAGGCCCUAUGUACUACGAUUCUGCUUCUUUAUAAACUAAGACUCCAACGUCUCUUGAAAGCAUUUCUGUUGCCAUUGUGGGUGCUGGCAGCCCUGAUCCGCCAUGUACACAUUCCUUGAUUUUCCUUUUCGUCGGACUUUUGAACACUCCUUCUUCCUGAAGUGUGCUGGAAUUUAAGAGGUUAGGGAUGCCGGAAAAGGUAGGUUCGUGUGCCACCUGGAAAUAAUAUCAUACAAUAGGCAUCUUAUGCAUGAUAACAGCCUCCUUGUUAAUUACACUGGUAUCAUCCUUGGUCCUUAGCCAAGAUGCCACUCCCCUGAAAAGAACUUUGGAACAUUUUUUUUUUUGUAGAGGUUUUCAAACUGCUGGGUGACAGUUUGAAUGACUUGGGCCCAUGAUAUCCCGUAAUUAUGUUGUGAAAUAUGUGCUUGGCUUUCAGAAGUUAUUGCCCCCUGUUUAAUAUUUGUUUCAAGUUAUGAGGGGGCUUGUUCUUUAAGGUUACAUGUAACAUAGCAAAUAGAGAGCAAGUUUCUACUGUUUCGGAGCAAGCCCUGCUUUGAGUUUACACGGUGUCUUUAAAACAUCAUGCAAUAUUGUUACAUUUGUUUUCAUUUCCCUUGCUCUAGUAUACAGAUUUUGUUUUAUAAGGUGAAGGACGUCUCAGAGGUCCAGGAGCCACAACAUGGCCUUAGGCAGAAUGAGGAAGGUGUGGAGGAAGCAAUUGAUUAUCCAGAUGUUUGGCACAACAAGUAUUCUCUUUCGCCUUCUUUUAAAUGCAAGCUUUGUCAUUCUUUAAAACAAACAAACAAAUAAUCUGCAUGCUCAGGGAGGGACAUUGGAUUAUGACAGUGGAUUAUGCUUCGGAAAAGUUUGCAACUUUUUAGGAAGCUGGUCUCUAAGGGGAUGGAAGGUAUUAAGGUAUUAGGAUCCUGCACAUAGCUGCUUUGGCCAUUGCUUGAAAUUAUAUACUAUGCACAACUGUAAAUAAUUGCGUCCCAGCACUGACUUCGAAAGCAGGUUUCUCAUUUGAUUAAUGAACAACGUAAAGGUUAGAGAGAACAAGCAAGUGAAUCAGCAAGGAUGUCCCGCUGCUUGAUGAAAAUCUACCUACAUGGCAAUUUCCACCCCUCCACCCCCCCUAUAAUUAAUGUUAAGCCCCGAGAUCCUUAUAUUGUAUGUUACAGAAUGCUGCAAUGAAGCUGGUGGUGUAAGUGAAUAAGUAGGGGCUAUUUGGGCUUGAUGAUGGCAUAUUUUGUCCUUAACUCUUUUGUUGUUGUUUAAAUCGUACUUUGAGUCAGGAAAACAGCGAUGUCAAACACAUAUGUUCCCCUUGACUCAUUUCUCAACAGCACUGUUCUCCCCCCCGCUUCCCCAACUAUUGUCUGCAUAAUUCUUUGAGCAGAUGUUUGAAUAUUUUUAGGUCAGUGGCUGACAUUACAUCAUACAUUUAUUUGUAAUGAUAUAUUACAUGUGCAUUGUUAUCUUGCAUCCCUAAAGAGCCCAAGGUGCUUUGCAGACUGUCGGUCUGAUUCCCUUCUUCUCCCCUGGUUGAGAGACGGGAGGAAUUCUCCUGUAGCCAAUGGGAUUACAUCGUGGUGAGAAAGAUGAGCAUUAGGCCGAGAAUGUUGUUUCUGAAUUAUAAAAAAUGCAGCUGUCUCUGGGGAGCAGCCAUUGCAUGACCCAACACAAUUGAGGGGAGAGGAAAAGCUAGGACUAAGACUGAAUUGAUAUGUUAAUUCCAUUUUUAUUUCUCUAUAUAGGAAAUAGCUUUCAUACCCAAUUGCACAGGAUUAAGCCCUCCUCUCCUCCUACAGCUUGUCAAGAUGUGCAUAUUUUAUAUUACAAAUUGUGAAUUUGCUGCGUAUUGCUGGGGAAUGUAAAAUCUGGACUUAGCACUUUUCUUUUUCUCCCCCUUUGGUUCUCUUUCCUGUCUCUGCUGGGCCCUGAUAGGUUGCCUGUUUAAGAAGCAAAAAGCUCAAAAGUGCAACACAGGGAGCAACCAGCUGCAUUUACUUUGUUUACCAGAGCUAGAAAUGAAUAAUGCAGAUUUUGUUUUCAUGAAAGUCCUUGUGUGGCAGUAAACAUAAGACUAUUAGCAAUCAUUACUUAAAAGUUGCAAUUUGCACCUUAAUAGUACCAGUUAUUUAAAUAGCGAACAACCGUUUCAGACGUAGCAAUCCACCUUCUUCCAGGGUAGACUAGCAAGGUCUUAGGUCUCAUAUAUGGCAUAGUAAGAGAUGUGUGUUAUGCAUAUAAUCAUGAUCAAAGGCUUUGCAUUUAUCCAAUGUUACUACUCACCUCAUUAUUAGAAAGACAAUAAAACUGGGUACCAAGGAAAAUAGGCCUGAAUGGUACUAUAAAAUAAAAAUACAUUGUCUUCCUUGUAUUUCCCCCGGGAGAGGAAGUACGCAUCAAAGACACCAAAAAGACUCUUGCUUCAAAACUCUUCAAGUUCAUAUCCUUAUAUCACAACACAGACGGAUUUCAUGAAAGCAAUUUGGGUUCAAAAAGGAGGAGAGAUAUUUAACUUCUUAAGUGGAAUAAAAUGGCCCCAUUCUUGGCUCAAAGCCCACCCAUUUGAUACCAUCAAAUGGGCUGGCCGGCCCAAGAGACAAGGUGAGGCGACCACCUCAGGCAGCAGGGUCUACCAGCAGAUCCCAAUGUCAAACUUCCUUCCUUCCUUCCAUUUUUCCUCAUGUAGAUCUUCCCUGAUCACUUUCUUCCUUGGUGGAGACCAAGGCCAUCUUGGCAUCUGUCUCCAGUGCCCAAAAUGUCUUGGGAUGGCCUCAAUCUGGAUUGCAUUUGGGGAUCAGGCAAAUGCACCAAUCCAUUUCUGGUUGUGGAUUGGCCUUGUGGGACCACACAUGAAAUGUGUGAGAUGGGUGGCAACAAUUGCACCACACAGCUUUAACUGACAUGGGGUGGAAGUCUCCUGGCCACUUGGCAGCACGAUGAUCUAACAUGCAACCAAUUUGCCAUCUGGAUAGAUUAUUACUUGGGACACGAUUUCCACUGCCCUUUAUAUAUCCAUUUUAUUUUGUGAAUCAGAACGGACCACCAUAUCAGCUCAUAAGAAUAUGGUAUUUGGAUUGCUAUUUUUGUUGUCGAAAUGGACAACUCACUUCUCUUAAUAGCUGGCUGCAAUUUAGAGUUUCCUCCCAAUUUCUAUGGCACGUUUCAUUGUGCAUAAGGAGCAUUGCAGUUUUUACCUUCCUUAUUUUCACUGCAACUGGGUGAAGGUUAGGCUGAGAAAAUGGCUUGCCCACGCUGCUGGAUGAGCUUCAUAAAUGAUCAGAAAUUUCAUCCCGGUCCUCACCUGUAGGCAGCCUACAUUUUCCUUGUAGGACACCUUAUUUCUUUGCCUUGUGCUUCCUCCUUAAAUCUCAAAUGCCCACAUGUAGUAAAUAAUACUUUAACCAUUUCCUUUUUCUGAUCCAGGGAUUUUGAGGACCUUUGAUGAAGGGUGCUUCUAGUGGUCCUCCCUAAUCUGGAAGCAAAACACACUCAUAAAUUUCUCAUGAUGUUUCUGACUUUCUCUGCUCCUCCAUGAUACUCAGUGACAAUGGGCAGUGGGCCUUUUGGAAAUAUUGGUGCCCAGGCAGCUGGUCUAACCUAAGCUCAAGCAUUUAUCUUCCCAUUAUUUAGUCUGUUGCACUAAAAACAACAGUCUUGCUGUUGUGCCUUACAUACAGGGAAUGUUGCCCUGAGUUCUCCUGUGCCUCAGGAUAACAUCCCAUACAUAUGUGUGUGUGGGGGGGGGAGGUUUCCAAAAAAAUGGUUGGUUUUCUCUUAUAACACACAGAAAAAACCAAAGAAAAACAUUACAUUUGUCACAACAUAAAAACUUAACAACAAUAAAAACACACAAAAUAAAAGCAUUUUUUCUUUUUGUUCCCUGGUGUAUUUACAUUGCUAAAAGACUUCCUCGACAACCUCCAAUCUGAAUUUCAUCAUAUCACAUAUUUAGCAGUUCCCAGUUACAUCCCAUACACAUGAAGUGGUUGGUAGCUCACAAAAACUUAUUAGGAUGUCACAGAAGUCUUUGCUUUCCCCCCAUAGCUUUGUCCAACCCCCAUUCAGAUAAAACAUUUACUAGUUCGCUGGGAGAAACGUCUAGUGGUCUGACACCUCUCUGCUUCACACCCCGGUGAAGACACAGCUCCAAAAAAGAUAUUCCAAACCAGGGCAUGUGUAUAUGUUUGGUUUUUUGCAAGUGACACUUAGGGCCCAGGUCAGGAGUUGCCAUGUUUGGGCAUCUGCCAAGAGCUCUCCAUUCUAGCAGGCAGCCCACAGAAAAGCGACCCCUGGAUCUGCUGCGAUAAAGAGAGAGACUCACCGAAGGUGGGGAGAGCAUCUUGUCCCAACUUUCCUUCCUGCCCAGAAAAAAAUCCAGGAGCUGGCACUCUGUCCACUAAAGGCUUCCAACCAGAAUGUGAUAUUCAUUAUCCUCUAAUAAAUGUUUGAUUUUUCAAAACUGCUUAGAUAUUAUGCAUGGGUGGACCCUCAUAACUUUAAAAAAAAAAAUCAGUGCAAACUUGAAAACAUUUUCUCCUUUCCCAGAUUUUUUUUUUUUUUUGCCUGUCCAAGACAUAAUCUUCCUUGAUUUUAUUUUCGGCAAAAUACGGUGUCUGGUUUUCUUUCAGGUGUGGCCGCAGAAAUAUUCAACUUCAGUUGAUGAAGUGCUGAUGUUCAGUAUCAGACAGACAGAAUAGAAAUUGCAUUAAGCUGUUGUGCAGACUUUAAGAGUUCAGAUGUUAACCAUAAAAAAAUGUUAAUUUGUGGCAGGAAUCUAAUCUGGUUAUUUUAGUGGCUGAGACAUUGGUUGCCAAUGCAGAAUAUAGUCUUCAUUUAGACUUUCGGAUUGUAUUGCAGACAGGGAAGCGUUGUGUAGGCAGCGCAGCACACGAAGUUUCUUUUCAUAAAGCCUGGCUAUGAAAAUACCCCUUUGUUAAUUUUAUUAAGGCAUCUUUCUUUCUGAAAUUAAAUACAUUUGUAAAGUUUUUACUUCCAGAACAUGCUCGCACAAGCAGCAGGAUGGUUUAGGGAGCCUGAUAACUUGAGCCAGCUGGAAACAUGUUUGAUUCACAGCAGAAGAUUUUAGUUUCAUUCAUUCAACAAAUUGGAAUGAUUGAUUUUUGCAUUGUGUGUGUGUGUGUGUGUGUGUGUGAGAGAGAGAGAGAGAGAGAGAG